AAUCAACGCUGGCGGCGUGCCUAACACAUGCAAGUCGAAACGAGAAAGGGGGACUUCGGUCCCUGAGUACAGUGGCGCACGGGUGAGUAACACGUGACUUAUCUACCCUCGAGUGGGGAAUAACUUCGGGAAACCGAGGCUAAUACCGCAUAAUACCCACGGGUCAAAGGAGCAAUCGCUUGAGGAGGAGGUCGCGGCCGAUUAGUUAGUUGCGGGGUAAUGGCCCCACCAAGACGGUGAUCGGUAUCCGGCCUGAGAGGGCGCACGGACACACUGGAACUGAAACACGGUCCAGACUCCUACGGGAGGCAGCAGUGGGGAAUUUUGCGCAAUGGGGGAAACCCUGACGCAGCAACGCCGCGUGGAGGAUGAAGUCUCUUGGGACGUAAACUCCUUUCGAUCGGGACGAUUAUGACGGUACCGGAAGAAGAAGCCCCGGCUAACUUCGUG
rnacentral:rRNA from 1 species